AGUGAACGCUGGCGGUAGACCUAACACAUGCAAGUCGAACGGCAGCACAGUAAGAGCUUGCUCUUACGGGUGGCGAGUGGCGGACGGGUGAGGAAUACAUCGGAAUCUACUUUUUCGUGGGGGAUAACGUAGGGAAACUUACGCUAAUACCGCAUACGACCUACGGGUGAAAGCAGGGGAUCUUCGGACCUUGCGCGAUUGAAUGAGCCGAUGUCGGAUUAGCUAGUUGGCGGGGUAAAGGCCCACCAAGGCGACGAUCCGUAGCUGGUCUGAGAGGAUGAUCAGCCACACUGGAACUGAGACACGGUCCAGACUCCUACGGGAGGCAGAAGUGGGGAAUAUUGGGCAAUGGGCGCAAGCCUGAUCCAGCCAUACCGCGUGGGUGAAGAAGGCCUUCGGGUUGUAAAGCCCUUUUGUUGGGAAAGAAAAGCAGCAGGUUAAUACCCCGCUGUUCUGACGGUACCCAAAGAAUAAGCACCGGCUAACUUCGUG
rnacentral:rRNA from 1 species